rnacentral:rRNA from 1 species
AUGCUCAAGCACUUGCUGCUGGGGCUUGCGGCUCUGGAGAAGACGAUCGAUCGACAGAGAUCAAGAAUGAAAUGGAUCAAGGAGGGAGAUGUGAACACCAAGGUUUUUCAGGCGGUGGCGAACGGACGUCGCUCCAAAAACUUCAUUCUGCAUAUCAAGAGGGGGGUUGAGAUCAUCACUGACCAGGAGCGCAUGGUGGAUACCUUCGCGGAGGUCUAUGAGCAGUUACUUGGCACUGCGUCUGCUAGAGGGCACACCCUAGACUUAAACUUCCUGGGUAUCGAACCAAGGGAGCUCGGCAUGCUUGAGGAGAUGAUCACCGAGGAGGAGGUGUGGCAAGUUAUAAAAGAUAUGCCCGGCGACCGUGCGCCAGGUCCGGACGGAUUCAUAGGGGCGUUCUUCCAGCAGGCCUGGCAGAUCAUCAAGUCUGAUGUCAUGGCAGUUUUGAUGAAGCUUUUUGUGGGAGACGGAAGGGGUUUUGCAAAGCUCAAUAAGGCACACAUCAUUCUUAUUCCAAAGAAAUCGGAUGCUGAAGAGAUAGGUGAUUACAGGCCGAUCAGCCUCAUUCAUAGCAUUCCCAAGCUCUUUGCGAAGGUUCUUGCAAACCGCCCGCGGAACCAAAUGCAAGACAUCGUGGAAGUGAACCAGUCUGCUUUCAUAAAAGGCAGACAUCUGCAUGACAAUUUCUUGUUUGUUCGUCAAGUGGCGAGGAAGAUUCACAUGAGGAAAGUGCCUGGCGUGUUCCUGAAGUUAGACAUCUCAAGGGCUUUUGACUCGCUAUCAUGGUCGUUCCUCUUUGAAGUGAUGAGAGCCAAGGGUUUUGGUCAAAGUUGGAUGAGCUGGAUGAUGACGCUGUUACACUCGGCUAACACCAAGGUUGUGGUCAAUGGAGUGCCAGGCAAGAGUUUUCUGCACGCUUGUGGCCUGAGGCAAGGCGACCCGAUAUCUCCGAUGCUCUUUGUCAUCACCAUGGACGUUUUGACGGCACUGUUUAUCAAGGCUACGGAAAUGGGUGUGCUUAGCUCUUACGCGGGCAUCUCGGCAACACAAAGGCUUUCAAUCUACGCUGAUGAUGUGGCACUCUUCAUUAAGCCAUCUUGUCAGGAUCUUUUGGCUGUCAGGGAGUGCUGGCUGCUUUUGGGGAAGCAUCAGGUUUGA